GACGAACGCUGGCGGCGUGCUUAACACAUGCAAGUCGAACGGAAAGGCCCUGCUUUUGUGGGGUGCUCGAGUGGCGAACGGGUGAGUAACACGUGAGUAACCUGCCCUUGACUUUGGGAUAACUUCAGGAAACUGGGGCUAAUACCGGAUAGGAGCUCCUGCUGCAUGGUGGGGGUUGGAAAGUUUCGGCGGUUGGGGUUGGACUCGCGGCUUAUCGGCUUGUUGGUGGGGUAGGGCUUACCAAGGCUUUGACGGGUAGCCGGCCUGAGAGGGUGACCGGCCCCAUUGGGACUGAGCUGCGGCCCAGCCUCCUACGGGAGGCAGCAGUGGGGAAUAUUGCACAGUGGGCGGAAGCCUGAUGCAGCAACGCCGCGUGCGGGAUGACGGCCUUCGGGUUGUAAACCGCUUUCGCCUGUGACGAAGCGUGAGUGACGGUAAUGGGUAAAGAAGCACCGGCUAACUACGUG
rnacentral:rRNA from 1 species